rnacentral:rRNA from 1 species
CAGUAGCCGCGGUAAUACGGAGGGUGCGAGCGUUAAUCGGAAUUACUGGGCGUAAAGCGUGCGUAGGCGGCUAGUUGAGUCGGAUGUGAAAUCCCCGAGCUUAACUUGGGAAUUGCAUUCGAUACUGGUUAGCUAGAGUGUGUGAGAGGAUGGUAGAAUUCCAGGUGUAGCGGUGAAAUGCGUAGAGAUCUGGAGGAAUAUCGAUGGCGAAGGCAGCCAUCUGGCCUAACACUGACGCUGAGGUACGAAAGCAUGGGGAGCAAACAGGAUUAGAUACCCCCGUAGUCCCUGUCUCUUAUAC